rnacentral:rRNA from 1 species
UACGGAAGGGGCAAGCGUUGUUCGGAAUCAUUGGGCGUAAGGGGCGCGUAGGUGGUUCUGUAUGUCUACCGUGAAAGCAUACAGCUCAACUGUAUUUUGUCGGUAGAAACUGCAGGGCUGGAGUCCGGGAGAGGAGGGUGGAAUUCCCAGUGUAGCGGUGAAAUGCGUAGAUAUUGGGAGGAACACCGGUGGCGAAGGCGGCCCUCUGGACCGGUACUGACGCUGAUGCGCGAAAGCGUGGGGAGCAAACGGG